UAGCUUCAACUGCAGGCCAUCGUUCAUCGAAACAAUUCAUAGAUAAAACGAAAUUAGUUAUUGAGUCGCUUUUAAAAUCAAACAGUGGCCGUAUUAAGUUAAUCGAAAAAUCACGCAGUAAGUCUGAAGUGUGGAAAACAUUUAAAAUCGUCGAAGUGGACAAUGCUAUCAAAGACUUUGUCGUAUGUGGUGACUGCGGAGCGGUUUUAUCCUGGAAUAGCGAAAAAACCGGUACAAACUCAUUGCGAUGUCACAUUGCUGCUCACGCACGGGACUUAAAGCUACAACCCGAGGAGGACGAUGUGACAAAGAGCGACAUGUUGAUUUGUUCACAAAAUGUAAACGCUGAAGCCUUUUCGAAAUCUGAAUGGGACCCAACAGUAAACUUACAAUUGGAUACUAACGUACACGAUAGUAUCGACAUCGAUGACCAAAGUAACUCGGAGGGAUCAGCUGGGCUCAUCUCUAACAGAAAACGAAAUCGUUUAUCUAAUUUCAGGAGCUACAGCGAUCAGUGGGACAAUGAUGUCGAAGCAACAAAGAAACCAGAAGACGAAUUCCAAAUAUUUGGAAACUACAUCGCUAGCCUCGUGCGCAAUAUGCCAAAUAUCACAGAGGCUCGCCGUCUGCAGCGAAGAAUUACUUCUUUCGCAUUGCAAUGCAUCGAAGAAAGUGACACCCAACCAUGAUUCAGGAUUCCUUUUCCGAAAAAUUAAGAGGUAGAGGAAUAAUAUCCUCUCGAUUAGAAUUAGAAACCUGAGCCGUUAGGAAUAAGGGUCUAUCGGCGGACUAAAACAAGCUAUUAUAGUAGUUAAACUUUUUAGUAUAAGCAUGCGGUUAAGAAAAUAGAUAGUUAAGAAAAAAGAACAAUUAAGUAAGACAGAAAACAAAUAGGCAGGUAAUGUUGCCAACGUUCUUGCACUUCUCAGUCAUUGCCACAGUCAAAUGUCUUGCAAUGCCGCAAAGAAUUCCGAUUAAAAGACCAGGUGUUAACAAUGUAAAUAUCGCAUUGAGCUACCCGAUCAAGCCAGCCACAUACAAUGUUUCUAAAUAGAGGUAUCUAUUACUAUUGACUUGCGAAGAAAGCAACAGUGAGUGUAAUAUCUAUUUAUCUGUAGUAGCAGCACAGAACAGAAGUGGAAGUCCGAACGAUUCGGCGAUCGAAACUGGUAACCGAGUCUUUUUUGUUUUUAUUUUUCUUUGGGAAGGUUUUCGCAUAGAAGCGAAUAACAGCAAUAUAAGCAGAACGCUCGCUGCCAAUCGCAUAGCAGCUUUCACAUGCUUUCGUGUGCAUUCGUAUGCGUUCGUGUGUUUUCGUGGAAAAAAGUGACUCGCUUCCGCUAGGUUCGCUAGUAUCUGUAGAAAGUACCAUGUACGUGUUUGGAUUUUUACUUCCACUUCUGUUCUGUGGUAGCAGUAUGUAAAAAUAAAUCUAGUCCAAACUAGCAUGGGUCUUGAUUUGUCAUCGAAAAAAAUAAUUCCCAAUAAAUUGCUUGAAUCCACACUAUGGUACACAAUGCGGGGAUCUUAGUUAUAUUGAAUGAAUAAAACUUCUCAUUUUUUACACUUCUGCAACGCCGUUUAAAAAUACGCGUUCAAAUUAGUGCUAUUCUACUGCUUUUAAUUUUCUCUCGAUAGAUGUAUGCCUACGAUAGAAUU